ensembl:lncRNA
AUGAAUACUCUACAUAAGUUGAAGAUUUUGGUGAUGUUUCUGUCUCUGGCUACUUUCAUGGUCAUGGUGAUGAUGAAUGCUGGAAAUGCCACUGGGACUUUCAAAGGUCUGUUCAGGACAACCCCUGGAAACAUCUCAGCCAAGUACAGCACGGAUUUCACACCAGCAGGCUGGACUUUCCUCAUCUGGAAUGUCAUCUACGCCUGGCAGCUCGCCUGGCUUCUCUACGCCUUGUCAGGGAUCUGUCGAAGGAAUGAACUUGGAUAUGUCUUCAUAAAGCCAGACUUGCUGCCAAUACCUUUUUAUGUGGCGUGGUGUCUGAAUAAUGGCCUCAAUGUUGGAUGGCUCUUUCUGUGGGACCGAGAAUACCUCCUGCCAGCCCUGGUGUUCCUGGCAGUCCUGUCUCUUACCACAUGUGCCUGCCUGUUUGUUUCCCACCGAGCCUUGAGCAUCCAUUCCUCGUGGUUUGUGAAGGCUCACAGGGCUCAGCUCUGGCUCAUCCGCAUCCUGGUGCAGAACGGGCUGGCUCUCUACGUGACGUGGACCAGCAUCGCCACGCUGCUGAACUUCGCCGUUGUGCUGAUCUACAAGUGGGACGUGCCCAACGAGAAAGCCACCACUGCUUCCCUGAGCAUGCUGGCUCUCGGCCUGCUGAUAUGGUUUUAUCUAGAAAACUACCUUCUUGACGAGUACGUCCGCUAUAACCUCACAGUCUACCCGGUGGUCAUAGCAGCUCUGACAGGCAGCGCGUGUGGGAACGGCUCGUUUUCAUCCCCACUGACCAACGACGUUUUCAUAGUUGUUCUGCUGGUACUGACGUGCUUGAUCUUUGUUCUUCGGCUGGGACUGGUCACGUGGAGACACUGGAAGAGACCACUGGAAGCAUCAGAACCUUGAGGUCCAUCAGGCACAGUGGCCUGAGACCUCUGGCACAUUGUGGCUGAUACUUGAAAGGGAGAAAAAAGAAUUGGGCAUGUGCUGGCCCUUCCUUCCUGUAUCCAUUCCCUUGUGCAUUUCUCUCUUAUUCUCUGUUCCAAAUGCAGAUGUCUCGUGUCUGCAAAUGUGUCUUGCUCCCACAUUCUCUCAGAUCAGUUACUCACAACCCUGUCUUGAGUUCCUUUGCUUUUAUCCUGGAAAAGUUCAGGAAGAGGUCCUGAGCAGCCCUGUGCACCUCUGUGAUGCCUGGGCUGCGGCUCUCUUCUCCUGCCAGUGCAAGGAGGGCUGCCAACAGGCACCCAGCAGGCUUGCACACACAGUUGCUCCUGUUUUUCCUUGGUAGCUCACUUUCUUUGAAGUGCAGACCCACGUGAACUGUCCCUGGGGUUCCAGGGGAGCAACAGGAGAGCUGUCAUUCCUUUGGCCAUCAGUGCUGAGCGUCCUCAAGCCCUGGUGCUGCCAGCAGAUCUCCUGCAGGCAGCCACUGCUCCUUUUCCUGCUUCUCUUCAGCAUGACAGGAACAGACAGUAGGGUUUGACAUCUGCCUUUGCAGUGUCAGCUCUGCUGUUUGGUAUUCAAGGGGGCAGGGGGAGCGACUGAAGAUUUCUGACACAAAUGUGUUGCCUCUCCCUGAGCUGUGCACAGCUUGGGCUGGCUGCAUGUCUCUCACUGGGGGAGUUUGUGGCUGCUCUGGAAGGAGGUGAGAUGUACAGAUGAGCUGGUCCCUGAUCUGGGGUGAAGCCUGAUGCUUCAAAGGAAGCCUGUUAAAAAAAACAAAAAGAAAACAAAAAAAAAAAUUGAACCAGUAGAGCAAGUUCAUCCUGGAUUGGUGCCUUCUCAUGUGGCUUCACCACUUCUGAGUUGGGAUUAGGCAGCCUAAAACUGGAUUGACUGAAUUUUUGGACCACUGCCUUUCCUUCCUGUGCCUAAUUGAGAGCUGGUGGUGCCUCACAGGUGGCUGGAAAGUCUUUACACCAGGAAGGUGCUUUCAGUGCAUCUUGCAGUAUUAUUAACAAAGCUAAAUUCUAAAAUUACAUGUGCUAUUGUUUACAUUUAGCAAAAGCCAAAAGCAGUGUAAUGCAUCUCCCCUCAUCAUUCUGGUGUGUUGUUUUUUUUUUUUUUUUUUAAUUUUCAAAUAAAUCAGCUAAUUCUACCA